rnacentral:rRNA from 1 species
UAAACGACUCUCGGCAACGGAUAUCUCGGCUCUCGCAUCGAUGAAGAACGUAGCGAAAUGCGAUACUUGGUGUGAAUUGCAGAAUCCCGUGAACCAUCGAGUCUUUGAACGCAAGUUGCGCCCGAGGCCUCUUGGUCGAGGGCACGUCUGCCUGGGUGUCACGC